rnacentral:rRNA from 1 species
UACGGAGGGUGCAAGCGUUAUCCGGAUUCACUGGGUUUAAAGGGUGCGUAGGUGGGCAGGUAAGUCAGUGGUGAAAUCUCCGGGCUUAACCCGGAAACUGCCAUUGAUACUAUCUGUCUUGAAUAUCCUGGAGGUGAGCGGAAUAUGUCAUGUAGCGGUGAAAUGCUUAGAUAUGACAUAGAACACCCAUUGCGAAGGCAGCUCACUACGGGAUGAUUGACACUGAGGCACGAAAGCGUGGGGGAUCAAACAGG